CCUGCAAGGAUGCAGCAGGGGCAGCAUUGCUGCAGGAUGCUCUCAUUCCCCAGCCUGGAGCAUCUCUUAGUGGUCCAGCGAAGGUGGGACAGUGGGGUGCAGGGUGUUGGGAGCCGACCUGAGCAGUUUGCCCUCAUUCCUGGAGGUGCUGCACCCCCAGGGGGGCAGACAGAGCCACCAACCAGCACAGCUGGGACAGCCACAGCUUUCAAGAGGUUCCUGGAGCCAUUCCCAGGAAUGAGGGAUGGGAGGGAGGGAGGAGAGCAGCAGGGAGAGCUCCUCAAUGCUGCUGGUGAGGCAGCCCAGGGCCGUGGCUGUGGGGAGGUGGGAUGAGCCGCAGGAAGAGGGAGAGGUCAGUGGAGGGGUGAGGCUUCUCCCGAAGGCUCCUGGCCUUCCUCACGCCUCUUCCUCCUUCCCCACCCACACUUAAUUCUCUCUAAUCUGCACGGGGACAUGCCUGCAUAGCACAGGGACCUCUGGUGCACGUCAGCAAGGACCCAGGGGCCGGUCAGAGGUUCCUCCCUGCAGCAGCCGUGCCAGCAUCCUCCCUGCAUGCAGCACUGGGGCCGAUUCCUGGCUGUGAGCAGCAGCCUUUCCACUACAGCAUCAGCUCCGUGAGAGCGGGAGCAGCUCCGAAUCGAUCCCAGCUGCCAGUGGUCAAAAAGCAGUCGAGCAAAAGGGAGGUUUGUAGCCAGAGCGUGCAGUGUGUGGAUGGGGGGAUGCACACGUGGAUGGGGGGAUGCACACAAGGACAUGGACACGUGGAUGGGGAGAUGCAUACAUGGAUGGGGAGAUGUAUAGAUGGAUGGGGAGAUGCACAUGAGGAGAUGGACACAUGGAUGGGGAGAUGCACACAUGGAGGCAGAGAUGCACACGAGGAGAUGCACAUGUAGAUGGGGAGAUGCAUAUAUGGAUGAGGAGAUGCAUACAUAGAUGGGGAGCUGCACACAUGGAUGGAGAGAUGCCCACAAAGCACCACCACUGCUGCAGUCUGUGCCCACGGUGUGGGGCAGGAAAUGUUGCACCUGGGAAAGGUGGGCAUGGUUCCUGCUGCAAAGGAAGGGAGGACUUUUGGGGGGUAGGGGAGCUCAGUGGGGGUCGGGAGGAGCUGCACCUCCAGGCACAGCCCGUGUUCAGGCCGCCACGUGGGGUGGGAAGGCAGAGAUGCAGACGACCCAGCGCUCAGAUGAAGAGGAUGGUGGGAGGAAGGACUGCAGUUCCCCAUCCUACCCGACUCCCCGGGGUGGUGAUGGUGGGGAGGAGCCCGAUGUGACCCCGCAGCCCCCGGGGGUGGCUGCCAGCAGCACAGUGCCUGCAGACUGCUGGCCUUUAGCUGAUGUUCCUCCCUGCUGGUUGGGCUGUGGGGCUGUUUAAAUAUAGAUUUUAAUAGAAAAAAAAAAACAAAAACGGGGUUAAUUUCAAAAGUGACAGCUCGCUUUGGCAGCAAACCUUUGCUUUCUGGCCCAAAGCCCCAACGCCUGCACUCCCGGGACCCCCGGGCUGUGUUCCAGGUCCCCAUCUCUGCCCUAAACCUUUGGAUACCGGGGGGCUUCGGGGGUGUCACAGUGGGAAAAGGGACAGAACAUCCCAGGAGGGACGGGGACGCGCGGGGACGGCGCGGUGCUGACGGAUGGGGCUGAGGUCGGGGCCGGGGGGGGUACGGAGGUGGGAGCUUUGGG
ensembl:lncRNA